rnacentral:rRNA from 1 species
AGCAGCCGCGGUAAUUCCAGCUCCAAUAGCGUAUAUUAAAGUUGUUGCAGUUAAAAAGCUCGUAGUUGAAUUUCGGGAUCAAAUUGUUGGUCGUGCCUUGGUACGCACUGGCAUUAUGGUUUCUCCCUUCUGAAGAACCUUGAUGUCAUUAAUUUGGUGUCUUGGGGAAUCAGGACUGUUACUUUGAAAAAUUGAGUGUUUAAAGCAGGCUCGCGCUUGAAUACAUUAGCAUGGAAUAAUGAAAUAGGACGUUUGAUUCUAUUUUGUUGGUUUCUAGGAUCGACGUAAUGAUUAAUAGGGAUAGUUGGGGGCAUUAGUAUUCAAUUGUCAGAGGUGAAAUUCUUGGAUUUAUUGAAGACUAAC